UGAUGUUGAAUUCAUCGCUUUCCAAAAUUCAAAAUAAGUGUGAUAUCAAUCGUGCUAAAUCCGUAAAUGCACAUACUAAUUGGUAUAAGUAAGCCACGUCUCUCGGUUCAAAAGGCUCUAAUUUUUUACCGACAAAUCUUAUCCUGACACGCAUGUAAGAAACACAGAGCUUUUGUCCCCAUUUGGGUUAAGGGAUCUUGCCUGUUCUUGGACAUGUGUUAUUUAUAAAGUUAUGCAAGUCUUGAUUCAUAUUUCCAUUGAUAGACAACUAGAAAGCUAGCCAGCCAAGUAUUCUAUUGAUUGUUUGUACUCAAAAUAUAGAACUAGUAUCAUCCAGGGCACGUGAUGGCUUAUCUAACUAUCCACCAUAAAAACCCACCUAGGAAAAAGACAAAGUACUAAAGUUGAAAAUGACCAUUAGGGUAAUAUUAGUUGUAUGCAUUGUUCAAAGCUUUUAAGGAUACAGCACAUGCACAAAAGGCACAAAAGCACAUGUCCACCAAUUCUAUUUGCUGUUUGGUUUUGUGCAAUUCCACUCUUAAGCAAAAUUCAAAGAAGGAAACUUUAAUUAAUUGUUGAAAAGAAGAGAGUAGGAUUCACAUGAAAUAUUAUACUCUUGUUAUGGAAAUACAUAGACCUAAUAAUUUUUUUUUUU
rnacentral:lncRNA from 1 species